rnacentral:rRNA from 1 species
AUUGAACGCUGGCGGCAGGCCUAACACAUGCAAGUCGAGCGGCAGCGGGACCUUCGGGUUGCCGGCGAGCGGCGGACGGGUGAGUAAUGCCCAGGAAUCUGCCUGUUAGUGGGGGAUAACGCGGGGAAACUCGCGCUAAUACCGCAUACGUCCUAAGGGAGAAAGCGGGGGCUCUUCGGACCUCGCGCUAACAGAUGAGCCUGGGUCGGCUUAGGUAGUUGGUGGGGUAAUGGCCCACCAAGGCGACGAACCGUAACUGGUCUGAGAGGAUGACGAGUCACACUAGAACUGAGAGACGGUCCAGACUCCUACGCGAGGCAGCAGUGGGGAGUAGUGGGCGAUGGGCGAAAGGCUGAUCCAGCCAUGCCGCGUGUGUGAAGACGGUCUUCGGAUUGUACAGCACUUUAAGUCGGGAGGAAGGACUGUAGGCUAAUACCUUGCAGUUUUGACGUUACCGACAGAAUAAGCACCGGCUAACUUCGUGCCAGCCGCCGCGGUAACAC